rnacentral:rRNA from 1 species
CCUACGGGGUGCAGCAGUGAGGAAUAUUGGUCAAUGGACGAGAGUCUGAACCAGCCAAGUAGCGUGAAGGAUGACUGCCCUAUGUGUUGUAAACUUCUUUUAUAUGGGAAUAAAAUGUUCCACGUGUGGGAUUUUGUAUGUACCAUAUGAAUAAGGAUCGGCUAACUCCGUGCCAGCAGCCGCGGUAAUACGGAGGAUCCGAGCGUUAUCCGGAUUUAUUGGGUUUAAAGGGAGCGUAGGUGGAUUGUUAAGUCAGUUGUGAAAGUUUGCGGCUCAACCGUAAAAUUGCAGUUGAAACUGGCAGUCUUGAGUACAGUAGAGGUGGGCGGAAUUCGUGGUGUGGCGGUGAAAUGCUUAGAUAUCACGAAGAACUCCGAUUGCGAAGGCAGUUCACUGGACUGCAACUGACACUGAGGCUCGAAAGUGUGGGUAUCAAACAGGAUUAGAUACCCCUGUAGUC